rnacentral:sRNA from 1 species
GUUUUCAACCCAGUAUUCAAGGCACGAAGGGAGUCCGACCUUCCAUUCGAUGAUGGUGUCGAAACCUCAAUUUCUGGACUGCCUUCUCGGGUAAUCCGGGAGGGCAAC